CCCCCCGCUGUGGGGUCAUAGUGACUUCUCCUUCCACCUCUUCAUCUGUUUUCCCCUGGAACCUGUUGUCUGGCCAGCUCAGGAGCUCCAUGCUCACACCUCUCUGGUCUUGCUUGUUUCAGCCCAAGAAUCUAAACCUGUCCCCAAAUAGACACAGAGGUCAGACACUGUCCUCGUGGAGCUCAUAGGUCACUGGGGAGGGUGGACUAUAAAUAAAGAGUCACAGUGCAGCAUAAGUGCUGUAGUGGAUGUCUACUCCAGGUACGGUUGUGGCACAAAGAAGUGGAUGAACUCACUGGGGGUGGAGGCAGGAAAGCAUUACAGACUAGGUGCAGCUGAGCCGGGUCUUAAAGAAUUAGUAGUUCAGUAGACAAGGUGGGGAGGUAUCCCUUAAAUACUUCUUAGAUUAGUAAAUGAAGGGCAUAUCGCACAGAGAAAACAACGUGUGCCGAAAGAGGGACAAAGCUGCAACAGCUCAGUCUCUUCAGGAAAAGUGCAGACUCAGUCUAGCUAAAUCAGGUGGGAGGAAGAGAGUGCUGGCAAAUGGGCCUGAGAGCUCAAAAAAUAAAAAA